ensembl:lncRNA
CCCCUCCUCCUCACCCUCCGUCUUUGCCCACCUGCGUGGACCUUGGGCCCACAUAAGCCUCCCUUGCCUCUGCUGGGACAUCUGCCCCAACCAGCCCUCACCAGGCCUGAGGAUCCCCACUCUCCACCAUGGGCCUCCUGUCCCUCCCCGUGGGGCACCUGGUCCCUCCCAGAAGUCCUGAGAAUGUGGUCUGCAGCAUCCUGGUGACCUGGGGGACAUGUGGGACACUGGAUGAUGGCCAGCAGACACACAGCCCGGUGGGACAGCUCCCUCAGGAUGCAUUUGGAAAUUCUAAAAAAGGGGUUCCUGCCUCCUGUGAAUUUACAUUCUCAAGGAGUGGAUGAAACAAUCAAGCCAGCUUUUCCUAAGGAAGCAGCAGCCACUCUGCCUGUUGAGAUGGUGUCUGCAAAAGGCAUUCUGGAGAAGAGUUAUAUAUAUAUAUAUAUAUUUUAUUCAAGAAGCAAAAUACUUUGAAGGGAAAUAAGUUCCCUCUCUCCUCCCAUCAGAGAGCCUCUUCUUUUAAGAUUCUCCCACUGAUCCCGUUCUAGAAGCAGAGAGGAGGCCCGACCCAGCAUCGUCUGCUGGUGGGGAUACUGACCUAUGCAGGAUGCAGCUGAGGCUGUAACCUCCCGUCAGCACCUUGGACAUUGUCCGUUGCAGACAACCCUUAAUUAUCUCACCACAUAAGAGGAAGAGAACAAUAAACCACGAGGAGGGGGAAGGAGCAGAGUCCGCUAGGAUUCCCAGAGUUCUUGUCAGAAGCAGCAUCUGGGCGUGGAUGGGUGAGAGGACCUGCCCCCAGGGCUGGAAGGAACCAGCCUGUGGGACCAGGUGCCAGGUAUAUCAGGCUCAUAAUCCUCAUCAGCUCCAGAUCAGACUUUUAAAACCUGGAGGGAACCAUGGAAUAACUAGCAAAUGCUCUGGUUUUGCAGAUGAGGAAGCUGAGACCCAGAAAAGGGAGGAGACUUGCAUAAGGUCACAGUUUCUCUGUAUAUAACAGCCUUGGAUUCUCUGUAGCCGGCUGUCCAGGCCAUUGACCUUUGGGGUGGAUGCUCUGUUGCCUUUGGGAUUCCCAGGGCCCAUUUCUGUUUGCCAAGCUCUCUGGAACCCAGGCCCAAGGACCUUCCUGGCAUUAGUGCAAACUGCCUGGGAGGCUGAAGGCUCCUGUCCUUGCUGGCCAAGUUUACAACCAGAACGUGGGGAGGUUCUCCUGGAGCAGUAACACGCAUGCUUUGUGGCGAGCAUCCUCCCCGAGCCAGUCUGGGCCCCUGGGAGAAUGCAAGUUUCCCUUACAGGCACAGCCUUACUGGGCCCACAAAGGCCUGAGCUCAGGGUUGGGGGGAGAGGAAGUUGCUUUGCUACAUGGAAAGAUUAAGCCCUUUGUCAGAGAACAAGGUCCCACCAUGGGGCAUGCCGACACCUGAGCCGCAUGUGUGAGGCUCAGCUGGCAAAGCUGCUGCCCGAGGAGGCCAAGUUGCUCUCUUUGGCAUCACUGACAUCACUCUGAGAUGCUCAGGCACUCUUUCAAAAUAACCCUUGCCCAGCCAGCCCAGGCCGAUCCAGUUCCCAUCAGGCCUCACCGGAUCAGGUGGGGCACGCUUGCCCUUCAGUCACGACUGUUUUUGUUUUGCCCCAAUCUCUUCUGACCUGAGUGAAAAGCAGACUCGAGGGAGAAGGUAGGGGACAAGUCUACGUUCCUAUCUCCUCCCUGAUCAUGCAGGUGAACGGUAGUCCAGUACAGGAAGCAGCAUUUUAAGGAACCUCUUUCUGGGUCAGGAUAUUGGAGAAGAAAACUCCGGGGAGAGGAAGAGAGAGGGAGAGAGAAAGGAGCUGGCGGGCAGCAGACCUCUCCCCCUCCUGGCAGCCACUGCAGAUACCCUGCUGGCCGGACGGCCUCCUGGUCCUGAAGGACACGCUCCCGCCCCCCCCGCCCCCGACCCUCUCCACCGAUGAGCAAAGGCAGCAAUUUGUCCACAGGGUUACACAGUGCAGGAAGCAACCAAAGAAGCAGAAGAGCAACCUUUCUGAAGCCCUGCUGCUUUCUGGGCUGAAGAAGAUGGGGACUCGGAGGUCAUCAGGAGCUUUGGAGCCCCGGCUCGGGGGUGGGGGUGGGAGCCCAGCUUCUCCUGGGCUGCAGGGCGUGGAACAAGGACCCUGGUCGCGAGCCAGGACUCCUGGUAAUGCAGUCUAAGAUUGUGCUACAUUUCAUUUCCAAAGAAGUGCCCUUGCAGGGCUCUAGCGUCUUUAAAGGGGGCGGGAGGCUUCCGCUCUCCUCAAGGCUGGCAGUAAAGAAGAACUCAGGCAUGCUGGCCCUGGUGGGUGUUAGGCCCCCGGAAGAACCAGUGAUCCCAUGAGUGGUGAGUGAGAGGGGUAACCCUCUCUCUCGGCCCCCUGAAAUGCUGGCAAUGCCUGGGCUUGCUGCAUACGGAGAGCCUCCUUUCCUAAGAGUGCUGGGUCAGGUGAGAGACUGGGUGGGGAGUAGUUGGGGAGAUGGUUUGACAAAAGGGAUGUGAUCCUUCAGGGAAGAACCAAGACUUGGCCCCAUUCGCUGGAGUCUGAUUCAUACCAAAGGCCCAUCACAGCCAUCCCUUUAGGAAAGGAGUCUGUGAAGGAAGUGGGACAGAUUGAACACGGCAGAAACAUGAAGACAGAUGCUCUGAAUCAUCUCUCAUGGUUCCUGCCCACAGCCCGGCAGCGCUGCAGGGCUGUCUGUGCCACGUCUUCCAUGAAACCUGCCUGAGCAGAGGGAGAUGGAGUGACAAAAAGCCCAGCCUGUCAUCAGCCCCAGGGUCCCCUGGGGUGAGGAGCGGGCACGUGGAGCUGUGACGCUGCAUCUAACAGUGCCUGGGAGGAAUCAUGUUCCUCCCCUCCCCACCGUGCCCUCCUCAAGGGAUGGAUGCUCCCCCCUCCAGGAGAGGCCAGCAGUCACACGUGCUCCCUCCUCCACUGGGACAGGCUUGCUCCAGAGCAGCCUCUCAGACAAGCCCCUGCAUCUAGGAGGCCUAGACAGACCCGUAAGUCCAGCCGCUCACCACCACACGUAUAUGGAGCCUCACUAGACUUCAUUCUCAUGGGAGAAAAUCCAGGUGGGGUAACUGGAUUAACUUGAUUUGGUACAAAGGAUUAAAGGUAAUCCCCUAAGGUCGAUUUGGGUGGGGAAUGACUUCCCAUUAGUGAGUGUCCGACCUCUAGGACAGGUCAGGCCAUCCCUCUGGCUAGUAUGUGCCCCCUAGCCAACCUUCCCCGGAGGCAAGGGGCCAGCAGCCUUUGACUCCCCAGCAGAGCCUCAGCUGGUAGCUCCCCAUCUUUUGUCUUCCUGGGUCCCUAGGGGAAGAAGGGUGACACCCUGAUAGUUCUCGUUUCCUGGGGGUGACCGCAC